rnacentral:rRNA from 1 species
AUGGACCUCCUCCAAGACGCGGAGGUGGACCUCGGGGCUCCGCCUCUAGAACCCUUUAGGGUUGGUGACGACUUGGAGGAAGAUGAGGAGGAUGAAGGGGAUGACGAGGAUGAGGUGGCCGAGAUAGGGGAGGAGGCAUUCACCGCCGCUUCCCGCCCACACGCGCGGUCGACAAACUACACCGAGGCGGAAGAUAUCCUCUUGGUUCUUGCUUGGGUAGCUGUGGGGAUGGAUGCAAGCACCGGCACCGAUCAAACCGGUAAACGGUAUUGGCAAAGGAUCGAGGACAACUAUUGUAGGAUCAAGCUGAAGAAUAGUGGGUUCAUCUCUCGCACUUACCGGUCGCUUCAAGGCCGGUGGGAGUUGAUGAAGCCCGCUUGUGCUCGUUGGAGUGCGGCCAUGGACCAAGUGAGGGAUGCACCACCUAGUGGAACCGUGGAGAGUGACUAUGAGACAAUUGCUGGCAUGAGGUACAAGGAUAUGGCCUCCAAGGGCAAGCCAUUCCCAUUUAAGCAUGUUUGGGCAAUUCUUCAAACCUUUGACAAGUGGAAGUUGAGGGAUCAAGAGACCGCACCCAAGAAGUUGGCAAUGCUUAGGAUGGAUGAUAGUGAAGAUGGGGAGGAGAGGGACUUGGGCAAUCCCGAGGGAACCAAGAAGGGCAAGCUAAGGAUGAAGAUGGAAGGAGAGGCGUCAAGCCUAAGGGAGAAGAUGGAGCACAUGAUGAAGGCAAGAGAGGAAUUGACAACGAAGACAUUGGAGACGAAGCUUCUUAUCACCGAGAAGAAGAAAGAGGUCAAGCUUGCACAAGUUGAAGCAAAGAGUGAAGAAGCAAAGCGCAAGGCCGACUUGGAGGAGAGGAUGAUUAAGCUUAAAGAGGCAAAGGUAUGGAAAGAACUCCUGGUGGAAGAGAAGGAGCACAUGAUGAUGUCCAAGAAGGACAUGGAUGAAGACCAAUUGCAAUGGUGGAAGGACUACAAGGAGGACAUCGCGGAGAGGAAGAGGAUGUUCCAUGGUGCGUCCUCUACUUUUCGAGGUGACACUCCGAUGAGUAGUUGUGGCGAUGGCAGUGUGGACGAGUCCACCGGCGCCUAUGGAGAUGCUUGA